rnacentral:rRNA from 1 species
GGGCCCGCACAAGCAGUGGAGCAUGUGGUUUAAUUCGACGCAACGCGAAGAACCUUACCUAGGCUUGAAACGCAAGCUAAACCUGAUGAAAGUCGGGGUGCCGCAAGGCGAGCUUGUACAGGUGCUGCAUGGCUGUCGUCAGCUCGUGCCGUGAGGUGUUGGGUUAAGUCCCGCAACGAGCGCAACCCUCGUUUUUAGUUGCCACCAGGUAAUGCUGAGCACUCUAAAAAGACUGCCUACGCAAGUAGUGAGGAAGGUGGGGAUGACGUCAAGUCCGCAUGGCCCUUACGCCUAGGGCCACACACGUGCUACAAUGGCCAUUACAAAGGGCUGCAAUACCGCGAGGUGGAGCCAAUCCCUAAAAAAUGGUCUCAGUUCGGAUUGGAGUCUGCAACUCGACUCCAUGAAGCUGGAAUUGCUAGUAAUCGCGCAUCAGCACGGCGCGGUGAAUACGUUCCCGGGCCUU